rnacentral:rRNA from 1 species
AUCAUGGCUCAGAUUGAACGCGUGGCGGCAUGCCUUACACAUGCAAGUCGAACGGCAGCACGGGAGCUUGCUCCUGGUGGCGAGUGGCGAACGGGUGAGUAAUACAUCGGAACGUACCCUGAAGUGGGGGAUAACGUAGCGAAAGUUACGCUAAUACCGCAUAUUCUGUGAGCAGGAAAGAGGGGGAUCGCAAGACCUCUUGCUUUAGGAGCGGCCGAUGUCGGAUUAGCUAGUUGGUGAGGUAAAGGCUCACCAAGGCGACGAUCCGUAGCGGGUCUGAGAGGAUGAUCCGCCACACUGGGACUGAGACACGGCCCAGACUCCUACGGGAGGCAGCAGUGGGGAAUUUUGGACAAUGGGCGCAAGCCUGAUCCAGCCAUGCCGCGUGAGUGAAGAAGGCUUCGGGUUGUAAAGCUCUUUCGGUGGGGAAGAAAUUGCUUCGGUUAAUACCUGGAGUAGAUGACGGUACCCGCAUAAGAAGCACCGGCUAACUACGUG